rnacentral:tRNA from 1 species
GGGACUGUAGUUUAGUGAUAGAGUGCUUGCCUAGCAUGCAUGAAACCUGGGUUCGAUUCCUCAGUACCA